CUUUACUGACGCUAAAGCUCGAAGGUGCGGGUAUCGAACAGGAUUAGAUACCCUGGUAGUCCGCACGGUAAACGAUGGAUGCCCGCUGUUUGCGAUAUAGUGUGAGCGGCCAAGCGAAAGCGUUAAGCAUCCCACCUGGGGAGUACGCCGGCAACGGUGAAACUCAAAGGAAUUGACGGGGGCCCGCACAAGCGGAGGAACAUGUGGUUUAAUUCGAUGAUACGCGAGGAACCUUACCCGGGCUUGAACUGCAGCAGAACGAUUGAGAGAUCAUGAGGUCCUUCGGGACUGCUGUGGAGGUGCUGCAUGGUUGUCGUCAGCUCGUGCCGUGAGGUGUCGGCUUAAGUGCCAUAACGAGCGCAACCCCUCUCUUCAGUUGCCAUCACUUCGGGUGGGCACUCUGGAGACACUGCCACCGUAAGGUGUGAGGAAGGUGGGGAUGACGUCAAAUCAGCACGGCCCUUACGUCCGGGGCUACACACGUGUUACAAUGGGUGGUACAGAGCGUCGGCCGCCGGCAACGUCGGUCCAAUCGUGAAAUCCAUCCUCAGUUCGGACUGGGGUCUGCAACCCGACCCCACGAAGCUGGAUCGCUAGUAAU
rnacentral:rRNA from 1 species